rnacentral:rRNA from 1 species
GUUCCGAUGAUGGUGCAUACAGGAGAUCGGACAGUCGGGUGUUUCAUCUGACCGAAAGUUCACCGAUAUUUCUUCAAUAGAGGAAGCAAAAGUCGUAACAAGGUAGCUAUAGAUGAACCUGCAGCUGGAUCAUUU